rnacentral:rRNA from 1 species
GACGUAGGGCGCGAGCGUUGUCCGGAUUUAUUGGGCGUAAAGAGCUCGUAGGCGGCUUGUUGCGUCGACUGUGAAAACUCGCGGCUUAACUGCGGGCUUGCAGUUGAUACGGGCAGGCUAGAGUUCGGUAGGGGAGACUGGAAUUCCUGGUGUAGCGGUGAAAUGCGCAGAUAUCAGGAAGAACACCCGUGGCUAAGGCGGUUCUCUAGUACGGUACUGACGCUGAGACGCGAAAGCGUGGGGAGCGAACAGG